rnacentral:rRNA from 1 species
UGGGAGAAACCCGAAAGAUCGAAUGGGGAGAUUCAUCGUCCAGCGAUUCUUGGCGCUUGUGCGGUUCGCGAUGCUCGCGUCGACCUUGCGGUCGUUCGCGCGGCACGCGUCCGCAUGUUUUACCAUGUCGGAAUCGUCGGCGUCCACUUCUCCCCUAGUAGGACGUCGCAACCCGUCGGGUGUCGGUCUACGGCCCGGGUGGGCACCUGUCAUGCGUUUGCGCGCCUSGCGGCGUUGCGCGCGGGGCAGACACCCGGCUGCCCGACCGGCUGCCCGGCGGUACUCGCAUGGUAUCUGGCCGCAAAUAUUCGAACUGUGUCCAGCCCGUCGCAAGCGGGGCAAGUGUUUCCCCGGAUGCGCGGAUCUAACGCCGUCACCGGGCCUUGCCAGUUGUUGGCCGACGGUGCUCUGGGACCGGCCAAUGAACCCAUAACAUCAUGAUACCGGUCGGCGACGCUACUGCUUUGGGUACUUUCAGGACCUGUCUUGAAACACGGACCAAGGAGUCUAACAUGUGUGCGAGUCAUUGGGAACUCUUAAGCCUAAAGGCGCAAUGAAAGUGAAGAUCGGCCUCGCGCCGAUCGAGGCAGGAUGGGCCGCGUCACGAUGCGGUCCCGCACUCGCGGGGCGUCUCGUUCUCAUUGCGAGAAGAGGCGCACCCAGAGCGUACACGUUGGGA